rnacentral:rRNA from 1 species
UACGUAGGGUGCGAGCGUUAAUCGGAAUUACUGGGCGUAAAGUGUGCGCAGGCGGCCGCGCAAGUCGAGUGUGAAAGCCCCGGGCUUAACCUGGGAACUGCGUUUGAUACGGAUGGGCUAGAGUUCGGGAGAGGAGAGUGGAAUUCCCAGUGUAGAGGUGAAAUUCGUAGAUAUUGGGAAGAACACCGGUGGCGAAGGCGGCUCUCUGGACCGAUACUGACGCUGAGGCGCGAAAGCGUGGGGAGCAAACAGG